UGCAAGUCGAGCGGGGGAGAUUGCUUCGGUAAUUGACCUAGCGGCGGACGGGUGAGUAAUACUUAGGAAUCUGCCUAUUAAUGGGGGACAACAUCUCGAAAGGGAUGCUAAUACCGCAUACGCCCUACGGGGGAAAGCAGGGGAUCACUUGUGACCUUGCGUUAAUAGAUGAGCCUAAGUCGGAUUAGCUAGUUGGUGGGGUAAAGGCCUACCAAGGCGACGAUCUGUAGCGGGUCUGAGAGGAUGAUCCGCCACACUGGGACUGAGACACGGCCCAGACUCCUACGGGAGGCAGCAGUGGGGAAUAUUGGACAAUGGGGGGAACCCUGAUCCAGCCAUGCCGCGUGUGUGAAGAAGGCCUUAUGGUUGUAAAGCACUUUAAGCGAGGAGGAGGCUCUUUUGGUUAAUACCCAAGAAGAGUGGACGUUACUCGCAGAAUAAGCACCGGCUAACUCUGUGCCAGCAGCCGCGGUAAUACAGAGGGUGCGAGCGUUAAUCGGAUUUACUGGGCGUAAAGCGUGCGUAGGCGGCUUUUUAAGUCGGAUGUGAAAUCCCCGAGCUUAACUUGGGAAUUGCAUUCGAUACUGGGAAGCUAGAGUAUGGGAGAGGAUGGUAGAAUUCCAGGUGUAGCGGUGAAAUGCGUAGAGAUCUGGAGGAAUACCGAUGGCGAAGGCAGCCAUCUGGCCUAAUACUGACGCUGAGGUACGAAAGCAUGGGGAGCAAACAGGAUUAGAUACCCUGGUAGUCCAUGCCGUAAACGAUGUCUACUAGCCGUUGGGGUCUUUGAGACUUUAGUGGCGCAGCUAACGCGAUAAGUAGACCGCCUGGGGAGUACGGUCGCAAGACUAAAACUCAAAUGAAUUGAC
rnacentral:rRNA from 1 species